GUGAAUCAUCGAAUCUUUGAACGCAUAUUGCACUCUCUGCUAUUCCGGAGAGUAUGUCUAUUUGAGGGUCAUUUGAAAUAAUAUAAAUUCCAAGAUUUCUCGGAAUUUAAAAUGGGUUGUCCAUUUUUAGUGGUCGCCUAAAAUCCAAGACAAACUCUUUCUCUUGGGUUGCGUGAAAGUUUCUGUUAUUUCGUUAUUUAACCAGUAAUCUACGGGCUUUUUAUGAAUUUUGCAAGAGAUAACAAAUUCCAUAGAUUUAUCUUAUGCUAAAUGAAAAUAGA
rnacentral:misc_RNA from 1 species